rnacentral:rRNA from 1 species
UACAGAGGUCCCAAGCGUUGUUCGGAUUCAUUGGGCGUAAAGGGUGCGUAGGUGGCGCCGUAAGUCAGGUGUGAAAUUUCGGAGCUUAACUCCGAAACUGCAUUUGAUACUGCGGUGCUUGAGGACUGGAGAGGAGACUGGAAUUUACGGUGUAGCAGUGAAAUGCGUAGAGAUCGUAAGGAAGACCAGUGGCGAAGGCGGGUCUCUGGCCCGGAUCUGACGCUGAGGCGCGAAAGCGUGGGGAGCAAACAGG